rnacentral:rRNA from 1 species
CACGUAGGGCGCAAGCGUUGUCCGGAAUUAUUGGGCGUAAAGAGCUCGUAGGCGGUCUGUUGCGUCCGCUGUGAAAACUCGGGGCUUAACCCCGAGCCUGCAGUGGAUACGGGCAGACUAGAGGUAGGUAGGGGAGAAUGGAAUUCCCGGUGUAGCGGUGAAAUGCGCAGAUAUCGAGAGGAACACCAGUGGCGAAGGCGAGUCCCUGGACAGGUCCUGACGCUGAGGCACGAAAGCUAGGGGAGCAAACAGG